rnacentral:rRNA from 1 species
GGUUAAGUGACUAAGCGUACACGGUGGAUGCCUUGGCAGUCAGAGGCGAUGAAGGACGUAUUAACUUGCGAUAAGCCCAGAUUAGGUAGUAAAAACCUUUUGAGUCUGGGAUUUCCGAAUGGGGAAACCCACUUACAUAAGUAAGUAUCUUGUUGUGAAUACAUAGCAACAAGAGGCAAACCGGGGGAACUGAAACAUCUAAGUACCCCGAGGAAGAGAAAUCAACCGAGAUUCCGAAAGUAGCGGCGAGCGAAAUUGGAUUAGCCCUUAAGCUUUUAAUGAUGCAGGUGAAGAGUCUGGAAAGUCUCGCAAUAAAGGGUGAUAGCCCCGUAACCGACACAUCAUAAUCAGUGAAAUCGAGUAGGGCGGGACACGUGAUAUCCUGUCUGAAUAUGGGGGGACCAUCCUCCAAGGCUAAAUACUACUGACUGACCGAUAGUGAACCAGUACCGUGAGGGAAAGGCGAAAAGAACCCCUGUGAGGGGAGUGAAAUAGAACCUGAAACCGUGUACGUACAAGCAGUAGGAGCACCUUCGUGGUGUGACUGCGUACCUUUUGUAUAAUGGGUCAGCGACUUAUAUUCAGUGGCAAGGUUAACCGUUUAGGGGAGCCGUAGGGAAACCGAGUCUUAACUGGGCGUUCAGUCUCUGGAUAUAGACCCGAAACCAGGUGAUCUAGCCAUGGGCAGGUUGAAGGUUGAGUAACAUCAACUGGAGGACCGAACCGACUAAUGUUGAAAAAUUAGCGGAUGACUUGUGGCUAGGGGUGAAAGGCCAAUCAAACCUGGAGAUAGCUGGUUCUCCCCGAAAGCUAUUUAGGUAGCGCCUCGGACGAAUACUACUGGGGGUAGAGCACUGUUAAGGCUAGGGGGUCAUCCCGACUUACCAACCCUUUGCAAACUCCGAAUACCAGUAAGUACUAUCCGGGAGACACACGGCGGGUGCUAACGUCCGUCGUGGAGAGGGAAACAACCCAGACCGCCAGCUAAGGUCCCAAAGUAUAGCUAAGUGGGAAACGAUGUGGGAAGGCUCAGACAGCCAGGAUGUUGGCUUAGAAGCAGCCAUCAUUUAAAGAAAGCGUAAUAGCUCACUGGUCGAGUCGGCCUGCGCGGAAGAUGUAACGGGGCUAAGCUAUACACCGAAGCUGCGGCUGCACACUUUAGUGUGCGGGGUAGGGGAGCGUUCUGUAAGCCGUUGAAGGUGGUCUGUAAGGGCUGCUGGAGGUAUCAGAAGUGCGAAUGCUGACAUGAGUAACGAUAAAGGGAGUGAAAAACUCCCUCGCCGGAAGACCAAGGGUUCCUGUCCAACGUUAAUCGGGGCAGGGUAAGUCGACCCCUAAGGCGAGGCCGAAAGGCGUAGUCGAUGGGAAACGGGUUAAUAUUCCCGUACUUCUUACAAUUGCGAUGGGGGGACGGAGAAGGCUAGGUGGGCCUGGCGACGGUUGUCCAGGUUCAAGUACGUAGGCGGAAGAAUUAGGUAAAUCCGGUUCUUCUUAACGCUGAGAUACGAUGUCGAGCCACUACGGUGGUGAAGUCAUUGAUGCCAUGCUUCCAGGAAAAGCCUCUAAGCUUCAGAUUGUAAGGAAUCGUACCCCAAACCGACACAGGUGGUCGGGUAGAGAAUACCAAGGCGCUUGAGAGAACUCGGGUGAAGGAACUAGGCA